UGGGGAAUUUUGGACAAUGGGGGAAACCCUGAUCCAGCCAUCCCGCGUGUGCGAUGAAGGCCUUCGGGUUGUAAAGCACUUUUGGCAGGAAAGAAACGUCGCGGGUUAAUACCCCGCGAAACUGACGGUACCUGCAGAAUAAGCACCGGCUAACUACGUGCCAGCAGCCGCGGUAAUACGUAGGGUGCAAGCGUUAAUCGGAAUUACUGGGCGUAAAGCGUGCGCAGGCGGUUCGGAAAGAAAGAUGUGAAAUCCCAGAGCUUAACUUUGGAACUGCAUCUUUAACUACCGGGCUAGAGUGUGUCAGAGGGAGGUGGAAUUCCGCGUGUAGCAGUGAAAUGCGUAGAUAUGCGGAGGAACACCGAUGGCGAAGGCAGCCUCCUGGGAUAACACUGACGCUCAUGCACGAAAGCGUGGGGAGCAAACAGGAUUAGAUACCCUGGUAGUCCACGCCCUAAACGAUGUCAACUAGCUGUUGGGGCCUUCGGGCCUUGGUAGCGCAGCUAACGCGUGAAGUUGACCGCCUGGGGAGUACGGUCGCAAGAUUAAAACUCAAAUGAAUUGACGGGGUCAUAGCUGUUUCCUG
rnacentral:rRNA from 1 species